CUGCCGGUUAUAAACCGGAGGAAGGCGGGGAUGACGUCAAGUCAGCAUGCCCCUUACACCCUGGGCUACACACGUGCUACAUUGGGCGAGACAAUGAGAUGCAAGUCUGCGAAGAUUAGCUAAUCUAUAAACUCGUUCUAAGUUCGGAUUGUAGGCUGCAACUCGCCUACAUGAAGGUGGAAUCGCUAGUAAUCGUAGAUCAGAAUGCUACGGUGAAUACGUUCCCGGGCCUUGUACACACCGCCCGUCACACCAUGGGAGUGGGCUGCAAAAGAAGUGGGUAGUAUAACCUUCGGGAGGACGCUCACCACUUUGUGGUUCAUGACUGGGGUGAAGUCGUAACAGGUAGCC
rnacentral:rRNA from 1 species